rnacentral:rRNA from 1 species
GGCGGGGCGGCGUUGCCUUAAACAUGCAAGUCGAACGGUGAAGCCAAGCUUGCUUGGUGGAUCAGUGGCGAACGGCCUGAGUAACACGUGAGCAACCUGCCCUGGACUCUGGGAUAAGCGCUGGAAACGGCGUCUAAUACUGGAUAUGAGCCUUCACCGCAUGGUGGGGGUUGGAAAGAUUUUUUGGUCUGGGAUGGGCUCGCGGCCUAUCAGCUUGUUGGUGAGGUAAUGGCUCACCAAGGCGUCGACGGGUAGCCGGCCUGAGAGGGUGACCGGCCACACUGGGACUGAGACACGGCCCAGACUCCUACGGGAGGCAGCAGUGGGGAAUAUUGCACAAUGGGCGAAAGCCUGAUGCAGCAACGCCGCGUGAGGGAUGACGGCCUUCGGGUUGUAAACCUCUUUUAGCAGGGAAGAAGCGAAAGUGACGGUACCUGCAGAAAAAGCGCCGGCUAACUACGUGCCAGCAGCCGCGGUAAUACGUAGGGCGCAAGCGUUAUCCGGAAUUAUUGGGCGUAAAGAGCUCGUAGGCGGUUUGUCGCGUCUGCUGUGAAAUCCCGAGGCUCAACCUCGGGCCUGCAGUGGGUACGGGCAGACUAGAGUGCGGUAGGGGAGAUUGGAAUUCCUGGUGUAGCGGUGGAAUGCGCAGAUAUCAGGAGGAACACCGAUGGCGAAGGCAGAUCUCUGGGCCGUAACUGACGCUGAGGAGCGAAAGGGUGGGGAGCAAACAGGCUUAGAUACCCUGGUAGUCCACCCCGUAAACGUUGGGAACUAGUUGUGGGGGACCAUUCCACGGUUUCCGUGACGCAGCUAACGCAUUAAGUUCCCCGCCUGGGGAGUACGGCCGCAAGGCUAAAACUCAAGGAAUUGACGGGGACCCGCACAAGCGGCGGAGCAUGCGGAUUUAUUCGAUGCAACGCGAAGAACCUUACCAAGGCUUGACAUACACCAGACGGGCCAGAAAUGGUCAACUCUUUGGACACUGCUGAACAAGUGGUGC